rnacentral:rRNA from 1 species
AACGAACGCUGGCGGCAUGCCUAACACAUGCAAGUCGAACGAGACCUUCGGGUCUAGUGGCGCACGGGUGCGUAACGCGUGGGAACCUGCCCUUAGGUUCGGAAUAACUCCCCGAAAGGGGUGCUAAUACCGGAUAAUGUCUUCGGACCAAAGAUUUAUCGCCUUUGGAUGGGCCCGCGUUGGAUUAGCUAGUUGGUAGGGUAAAAGCCUACCAAGGCGACGAUCCAUAGCUGGUCUGAGAGGAUGAUCAGCCACACUGGGACUGAGACACGGCCCAGACUCCUACGGGAGGCAGCAGUGGGGAAUAUUGGACAAUGGGCGAAAGCCUGAUCCAGCACUGCCGCGUGAGUGAUGAAGGCCUUAGGGUUGUAAAGCUCUUUUACCCGGGAUGAUAAUGACAGUACCGGGAGAAUAAGCUCCGGCUAACUCCG